rnacentral:rRNA from 1 species
CCUACGGGAGGCAGCAGUGAGGAAUAUUGGUCAAUGGACGCAAGUCUGAACCAGCCAUGCCGCGUGCAGGAAGACGGCCCUAUGAGUUGUAAACUGCUUUUGUACGAGGGUAAACGCAGAUACGCGAAUCUUUCUGAUAGUAUCGUACGAAUAAAGAUCGGCUAACUCCGUGCCAGCAGCCGCGGUAAUACGGAGGAUUCAAGCGUUAUCCGGAUUUAUUGGGUUGAAAGGGUGCGUAGGCGGUCGGAUAAGUUAGAGGUGAAAGCCCGAGGCUCAACAUAGGAAUUGCAUUGGAUACUGGUAGGCUAGAGAGUAGUUGCGGUGGGCGGAAUGUAAUGUGUAGCGGUGAAAUGCUUAGAGAUCAUAAAGAACACCGAUUGCGAAGGCAGCUCACCAAGCUACUUCUGACGUUGAGGCACGAAAGCGUGGGGAGCAAACAGGAUUAGAUACCCGAGUAGUC